CUGCCUUCCGUAGGAGUCUGGGCCGUAUCUCAGUCCCAAUGUGGCCGGCCAACCUCUCAGUCCGGCUACUGAUCGUCGCCUUGGUAGGCCGUUACCCUACCAACUAGCUAAUCAGACGCGAGGCCAUCUCUCAGCGAUAAAUCUUUGAUAUAUCUGCCAUGCGACAAACAUAUGUUAUGCGGUAUUAGCAGUCGUUUCCAACUGUUGUCCCCCUNUGAAAGGCAGGUUCCUCACGCGUUACU
rnacentral:rRNA from 1 species